GCCACAUGAUGAGUUGAAUAGAUGCAGCAGCUUUCGAGCAGUGAUGACCUGCUAUCUAUCACCCUUACCUGAUGGCG
ensembl:snoRNA SNORD83 Small nucleolar RNA SNORD83